rnacentral:rRNA from 1 species
ACCCGUACCGCAAACCGACACAGGUAGUCGAGGAGAGUAUCCUCAGGUGAGCGAGAGAACUCUCGUUAAGGAACUCGGCAAAAUGGCCCCGUAACUUCGGGAGAAGGGGCGCUGGUCGCAAGAUCAGCCGCAGUGAAAAGGCCCAAGCAACUGUUUAUCAAAAACACAGGCAUCUGCAAAAUCGUAAGAUGAAGUAUAGGUGCUGACACCUGCCCGGUGCUGGAAGGUUAAGAGGAGAGCUUAGCGCAAGCGAAGGUUUGAAUUGAAGCCCCAGUAAACGGCGGCCGUAACUAUAACGGUCCUAAGGUAGCGAAAUUCCUUGUCGGGUAAGUUCCGACCUGCACGAAAGGUGUAAUGAUUUGGGCACUGUCUCAACGAGAGACUCGGUGAAAUUAUAAUACCCGUGAAGAUGCGGGUUACCCGCGACAGGACGGAAAGACCCCAUGGAGCUUUACUGCAGUUUAAUAUUGGGUAUCUGUCAAGCAUGUACAGGAUAGGUAGGAGCCGGAGAAGAUAGGACGCCAGUCUUAUCAGAGGCGCUGUUGGGAUACUACCCUUGCUUGACGGAUGCUCUAACU